ACGAACGCUGGCGGCGUGCCUAAUACAUGCAAGUUGAGCGAUGAAGAUUGGUGCUUGCACCAAUUUGAAGAGCAGCGAACGGGUGAGUAACGCGUGGGGAAUCUGCCUUUGAGCGGGGGACAACAUUUGGAAACGAAUGCUAAUACCGCAUAACAACUUUAAACAUAAGUUUUAAGUUUGAAAGAUGCAAUUGCAUCACUCAAAGAUGAUCCCGCGUUGUAUUAGCUAGUUGGUGAGGUAAAGGCUCACCAAGGCGAUGAUACAUAGCCGACCCGAGAGGGUGAUCGGCCACAUUGGGACUGAGACACGGCCCAAACUCCUACGGGAGGCAGCAGUAGGGAAUCUUCGGCAAUGGACGAAAGUCUGACCGAGCAACGCCGCGUGAGUGAAGAAGGUUGUCGGAUCGUAAAACUCUGUUGGUAGAGAAGAACGUUGGUGAGAGUGGAAAGCUCAUCAAGUGACGGUAACUACCCAGUAAGGGACGGCUAACUACGUG
rnacentral:rRNA from 1 species